CGGGGCGGGAUACGCCAUAGGCUCCUCCCCUUGCGCUGGCAGGCGGUCCGGGUCGGGGCCACCUCGCGUAGGUUCCGGGAAGAGGAGGAGGCUCAUGCUGGCGUCGCUAAGGGCGCCCAUGGAACCCAACCUGCACUUCGGGAUUUCCGAACGUCAAUCCUUCUUUCGAAGAUUUCUUCAGUGGAUGGAUUUAUUAGAUCCUGUAAAUCUGUUUAUUUCAAUUGGAAGCAUAGAAAAAUCAAGACAGCUGUUGUUUACCACAGAAGAUGCAUCCAAACACUACCUGGAUGACAAAAGGAUUAAAGAUGCAUGGAAUAGGAGUCUUUCAUCUGUACACCCUGACAGCAGCAAGUUGAUCCCCACUCUUUUCCGACCUGCAGCUUUCCUGCCUGUGACAGCACCCAUGGUAGUUCUGUUAAUGAUGCCAGCUACUGGAAUGAAGUCCAUCGUUUUAACUCAGGCUUGCUUGUAUGGAUACACCACACCCUUUAACAUCAUCAAUGGAAAUGCCAGUUAUAGUCAUGGACCAGUAGAGAGAACAGUUUUGGGAGCAGGGGUGUUUGUGUCUUCAACCUUCCUCGGAUUAAUCCCUCAUCUCUUUCAAAUGAAGUAUCCCCUGAGUAACUUUUGGCUUAAAAGAGCCUUACCAAUCGCCUUUCUUGUCCAAGUCAGUGGAAUGAAUGUUUUUGCAUCCCGAAGUUUUGAGACCCUCCGAGGAAUUGAGGUGAUGGACAAGGAAGGUCAUGUUGUUGGCUAUUCCAGAAAAGCUGGAAGAAAGGCUAUUAGAGAAACAACAUUCUCCAGGGCAGUGCUGUUUGGGACCUCAGCCCUGAUUCCUGAAGUCUUUAUCCACUUCUUUAAAAGGACCCAGUUUUCCCCACAAAGCUCGUUUUCAUUAAUGACCUUGAGAAUGGGUUGUACCCUGUUUAUGAUGGGGCUGAUGGUGCCUGUGUCAUUCAGCAUGUUUCCACAAAUCGGACAGAUCCAGUACAGUCAGCUUGAAAAGACGAUUCAGUCAUCUACAGAAGAAAAAGAACUCUUCUAUAACAGAGGAGUGUAGGGUCAAGCAAGUUUGGCUUCUGUCUGGAAAUCUUUAGCCUGUCAAGGUUCAUUUAGAGAGCACUGCUGUGUCCUCUGGGUUCUCAGCAAUACCUGUGCAGCAAGCUGGUUUCAAAGCCCAUUGUACCUGGGGUUUUGAGACUGACUGAAAGAAGAGCAACACCCAGGGAACUGCUGAACGAACAGUGAAUGAAGUGGGAACCGCUUUUGCUUCAGUGCCUCAACAUUGAGAAUGAUCUUUCCCCCAUCAUCUGACACUUCUGAAAAUGGUGCCAGCACUUGGGUGGCAAAGACAGGCAGAUUCCUGAAUUUGAGGACUGCCAGGACUACAGAGAAAGCCAGUCUUGAAAAAAAAAAAGAAAAAGAAAGGCACCACACGCCCACCAGGUAAAAGCUAGCCACCAAGCCUGAGACCCACUUGAUCCCCUAACAAAGGGAGCAGGGGCUGUCUCUGAUUGUUGCCUGCCUCUGGAUCCUUUCCUGUAGCUGGGCUGCCUUGUCUGGCCUCAGUGGGUGAGGAUGCAACUUGAGGUGCAAGGGUGGGUUGGUAUCCCUUGGGAGCCUCCCAUUCCCCUGAGAAGAAGAGAGGAGAAUGGGAGGAGGGUAGUGUGAGGGUGGGGCUGGGAGGAAAGGAGAGAGAGAGCUGGAGUCAAGCUGUAAAGUGAUUAAAUAAAUAAAUAAAUAAAUGCAGGGAAAAAAUUAGACUCCUUGAAGACAGGAUUUUUAUUGUACUGUCUACAUUGGCAACAGUUCAAGAAACCCUGAGCAGAUGGAUAGAUUCAGAAAGAAAUGUGUCAGGUGGGACCAGGUGAGCAAGUAGAGCCUACUUCUCAGAGAUGCUCCUAUGGUUCCAUAGGAGCUAACAGGGCAGAUCCCAGAAGUAGCUAGGCUGGGAGUGUAUUCCUCAGUAGAGAGAGAAAAACAGGCAAAAAGCAGUCAGGAAUAGCCUCUCGUCAGAAAAGGAUUUGGCACCAUACAGAAAAACUCAGGAAAUAAAAGCCAUUUGUCCUCCUAGGCCGGUGAGGGCAUAGGAUGCAUAUGGAUACUCUCUUAGCCUAACAGACAGACCUCCCCAGAGGAGCUCAUUCUUCAGAGUUCAAAAGUGGAGACUAGAUUCCAAAGGGAGUGGACUAUUAGGAGGUGUGGCCCUGCUGGAGGAGAUAUGCCCUUGUUGGGGUAAGUGUGUCACUGUGAGGGUGGGCUUUGAGGUUUCCUAUGCUCAUGCUCUGCCCAGAAUGAAAUGAGAGCCUCUUCUUGGCUGCCAGAAGACUGUUUUGCCCUGCCUCCAGCCCCAUGUCUGCCUGCAUGCAACCAUGCUUCCUGCCACAAUAGUUAUGGACUAAACCUCUGACACUGUCAGCCAGCCCCUAAUUAAAUGUUUUCUUCUAUAAAAGUUGCCAUGGUCAGGGUGUCUCUUCACAUCAAUAAAACCCCAACUAAAACAGUCCGAGGUUUGUUAAGUAGUUCCAAGAAGAAACAACAAUAAUAAGAAGAAAUUAGAUAUCCUAAUGGCAAAGAUCAAACUUGCUCCAAGGAACUCAACACCCCUAAUUAGCAGGAAAGUUAACUAAUGAUAACACUGCCAUCUCUCAAACCCAAUUUUAUUCAAGGAUCUCUUUCCUUUCCUCUCUACCUUUUUUUCUUCCCUUUUCUAGUGUUAGAGAAGAAGAAAGGGGUGGAAGAAAGAAGAGCCCACAACUAGCAAAGAUCACAAGGUGGCCCCAGACGUGGGGCUAGGCAGAAUGGGAAAUUUGAUUUUAAAUGCUAUAGAAUAAACAGCAGGGGACUAAGGAAUAGAUAUUUUGUUUCAAGAUGCCAGCAAAAAAAUUAUUGCAGCUGCUACAAUGGGAUAGCCUCUGCUAUGCUCCCAGGGGGGAUUUUCUUUUCUUUUUUUUUCUUCUUCUUCCUAUAUUCUGUUUCAAAAAGGUUGGGAGAACAACUGGAAAAAUUCCCAGUAAAGUGGAAACACCUGAGGCUAGGAGCACCAAAAAAGAGAAAACAAAAGGGCUCACAGUCCCAGUGACUGAGCAAGAAUGCAAGAGUUUCCCACAGGAGAAAAGAAACUGCACUAGAGGGUGUAGAGGAAUUUUAACUCAGAACAAGGCUGCUCUAGCAAGAGAUCACAGCCACAGAUCUAAGUAAUCUGGCUGAAAUACACACAUGCCUUUCAUCCAGGAGACAAAAGCAAGCAGAUCUGAAUUCAAGGCCAGCCUGGUACUGAGCAAAUUUCAGAAAAAAGAGAAGCUUAGAUCCAGGCAUGGUGGUGCACGACUUUAAUCCCAAAUAAUGAGGGUAAAGUUAGUUUAUAGAAGGAAGUACCCAUGCUUCAAAGUGAUGUCUGGAGGCUGGAGAGAUGGCUCAGGGGUUAAGAGUGCUGGCUGUUCUUCCAACUGUCCUGAGUUCAAUGCCCAGCAACCACAGGGUGGCUCAUAUCAUCUAUAAUGAGAUCUGGUGCUAUCUUCACUCAUGUAGGCAGAAUACUGCGUAUAUAAAUAAAUCUUAAGUGGUGUCUAAUUAAGUGGCAGAGACAGUGAUGAAUCAGAUAAAGAUUUGGCAGAAUGAUACACACCCAACUCUCAUGAGGAGAGAGGAAAGGGAAGCUACCAAAGAGACAAUGCAGAGAGGAGAGGAGGCAAUUUUAUCAGGACAAUAAUAGAGAAAGAGCUCGGGUGAAGACUGAGUGAGCCAGAGAAUGAGAAGGAGCCAGGAGAUUAGAGCAGAUUGCUUGAGUUAGUAUGAGACCAAACAGAACAAUUCAGAGGCCAAGAGAAAAGCCAAACUGACUAAGUCAGCUGGAAGAUGAGUUGAGCCAGCCAGCCCAGUGCUCAGUAAGAACAAGAAAGGGUAAGUUUAUUAAGCAGUUAGUCUCAGAGGCUGAAAACAAUAUAGGCCUAGGGAAUAUUUUACAAUGGCUAGAAGCUUCUAGGACUAGGACUGGGCUAGCAGACAGAGGCAAUAAUUCUCCAAGACAACUGAACCAGGAGAAUACACAUUCCUUUUACAGGACAGUGGUAGGGUCAAAGAAAAGUUGAAAAGUCUGAUGAAACAGCCCAUUUUGAUAGAAAGGGUUAAUCUUGAAACAAUUGUGCUGUCAGAAUGGAUGGAGAGGCGGCUCUGGGUUAUCAGAUCACCACCAUCAGCAAACAGUGGGGAACAAGGUUAUCAUGAGAUAAGAUGAUAUCCUAUGGAAAUGAUAGCUCUAAGGUGUUUUAAAAAGGCAUGAUUUCAUGAGAUGCACUUGCCUUAUGUGAAACAAAUUCUAAAUAACUGAGCUUCUCAAAAUAGAAUUAUUCCCCAAGACUGGAAGAUAUUAAUGACAGCUGUACUAGAUGCUGGUCCCCAGUUGAAAUGAUUAACAUGGUGGAGGGAAUUAGUCAUGAAUAAUAAACAGCAAAACAGAGCUUAGGGAAUGAAUAUGGUAAAAGCUCAGUUACUCGGUAAAGGGUGGUACUCUGAUAUACAAGAACAGAUUCAAUUUGAUAUUGCUACUAUAGAACAAUGUCACUUAGCAGCAUUAAGAGUUUGGAACAAAGUUGAGGAAAGCCUAGGAAAAGGACCACCUCAUUUACAAAGAUUAUACAAGGCUCUGAAGAAGUCUUUACUGAUUUUAUUUUUUACAAAGAUUAGUCUCAGCUGUGAACAAAGCAAUCUCAAUCUCAGAAGAAUGGAAGAAAGAGGAACUCACAAAGUAGCAAAAACCAGCUACAUAUGAACAGGUCAUGAUGAAAGACAGUGUUGAUAGAGACCUUGUUGUAUGAAAAUGCAAAUACUGAAUAUAAAUAAGUUAUUACAUCAUUACAGUAAAAAGCAGCACCUAUGGAUGAAUCGAUAGGGGUUACUAAUGUGUACCAUGCUAAUGUCAUAGGUCAAGCUAUAGCUAUAGGUCUCCUAAAAACCUUGGUCAAUGACCGGAAAAGCACUCAGUUCAUUGGGAAUAUCACUGUUUAAAAUGUAGUGAGAAUUUCUGUUUCUUUAAAAACACAAUAAUAUUGUAAGAAUAUGUUUUUGUUUUAAUCCCAGGUGUGGGGAUUUGAGCUUCUUCACAACAGCUGACUACAAUUUGCCUCAUGCUGUAGAAGGGGCAUGAGUUUGCCAGCUGCCAGUAGUUUCUGUGAUUGUGUGACAUUUGGAAUUUUUGGGACUUUUCAGAGAGUAUAUAAAUGCUAAGGCCUGGAGAGGAGCUAUGGGUUGUUAUUGGUUGCUGUUUGGUCACUGGUAGCUGUGUACAAAGAAUAAACAAGAAGAAAUUAGAUAUCCUGAUGGCAAAGAUCAAACGUGCCCCAAGGAACUCGAUGCCCCUAAUAAGCAGGAAAGUUUCUAACAAUAACAUUGUCCCCUUUCCAACCUCUGACAUUAUUCAGGAAUCUCUUUCCUUUCCUCUCCAUCUUUUUUUUUUCUGUCUUUUCUAGUGUUAGGGAGUUGAUAGGGAAGAAGAAAAGGGGUAGAGAAGGAUGGAAGAAAGAGGAACUCAGAUGAUUGUCCAAGGUUCCUGAAUAAACUGCAUUAAAUAAAUAAAUAAAUAAAUAAAUAAAGUGGGGAAAAAAAACAAAUAAAUAAUAAAAAAACCAGCUACAUAUGAACAUA